GCAUAGCGUUGAUGUGAAAGGUUGCGACACACCCGGCCGCUUUGCCACAGGGUGUGGCGGUAAUUUUCACGGAGCAAGUCUUAUUUUUAAAAUAGACGAAGGA
rfam:Pediococcus pentosaceus ATCC 25745, complete genome.